rnacentral:rRNA from 1 species
UACGAAGGGGGCUAGCGUUGUUCGGAUUUACUGGGCGUAAAGCGCACGUAGGCGGAUCGAUCAGUCAGGGGUGAAAUCCCAGAGCUCAACUCUGGAACUGCCUUUGAUACUGGAAAGCUCGAGUCCGGGAGAGGUGAGUGGAACUGCGAGUGUAGAGGUGAAAUUCGUAGAUAUUCGCAAGAACACCAGUGGCGAAGGCGGCUCACUGGCCCGGUACUGACGCUGAGGUGCGAAAGCGUGGGGAGCAAACAGG